rnacentral:tRNA from 1 species
GUGGAUAUGGCGGAAUUGGCAGACGCGCAUGUUUCAGGUGCAUGUAUCGUAAGAUGUGAAGGUUCAAAUCCUUUUAUCCACACCA